rnacentral:misc_RNA from 1 species
GGCAUGGUGGCUGAGACUGCCCUCUGGGGUAAACAAUCAGCCGACAAUCCCGGUUACCAAUCUGAAACCUCCUGCUCUUUAUGCAAAGCCCAGUAAUCUUCCUUUUCUUUAAAAUAUCCUUCAACCUUGUGAAGUUUUCAAUCCUCCAUGUAAACUUUCCCAUGUGACCAUCAGAUUUCCUGGAACCACCCCCAUUCCUCACUCCAACCAGUCCCCCAUUCUUCGAAAAGCUACUAAGCUCUUUAAUAACAUGGAACGAAGUGCUAAAAACAGCAGUGUCAUCUACCAAGAACCCUGAAUCUGAUCCCAUAAAAUCCACCAUUUUCAUAUAAUCGUUCCAUCCCAAACUUGUGUUAUCCCCACUCUUAUUAUCAGCAGCAAACCUUCCAUAUGAAUCCCGGUGCAUGUGAUUCAAGCCCGGCUUCUGAUUCAACACUGACAUUCUAAACAAGCACCAACAACUUCGAUCCGAAAUCAAUGUCUUCUCUGUAUCCUUACUCUCUAAACACAUAGACAAAUAC